UCAGGCCUAACACAUGCAAGUCAUACGAGAGUUUUUAACUCAAGUGGCGGACGGGUGAGUAACACGUAAGAAUUUACCUUUAGGAGGGGGAUAACAACGAGAAAUUGUUGCUAAUACCCCAUAUGCUUUCGAGUGAAAUGGAUUUUUCCGCCUAGAGAGAAGCUUGCGCCUGAUUAGCUUGUUGGUAAGGUAAUGGCUUACCAAGGCGACGAUCAGUAUCUGGUUUGAGAGGAUGAUCAGACACACUGGAACUGAGACACGGUCCAGACUCCUACGGGAGGCAGCAGUGGGGAAUUUUCCGCAAUGGGCGAAAGCCUGACGGAGCAAUCUCGCGUGAGGGAUGACGGCCUAUGGGUUGUAAACCUCUUUUUUCAGGGAGGAAUAAAAUGACGUGUACCUGAAGAAUAAGCAUCGGCUAACUCCGUGCCAGCAGCCGCGGUAAGACGGAGGAUGCAAGUGUUAUCCGGAAUCACUGGGCGUAAAGCGUCUGUAGGUGGUUUAGUAAGUCAACUGUUAAAUCUUGGAGCUUAACUUCAAAAUCGCAGUCGAAACUGCUAGACUAGAGUAUAGUAGGGGUAAAGGGAAUUUCCAGUGGAGCGGUGAAAUGCGUAGAGAUUGGAAAGAACACCGAUGGCGAAGGCACUUUACUGGGCUAUUACUGACACUCAGAGACGAAAGCUAGGGUAGCAAAUGGGAUUAG
rnacentral:rRNA from 1 species